UGAUCGGGUAACAAACAAUAUUUAAACAAUGGGAUUCACUCCUCUACUCUUGGCGGUAGGGGAAAAACGUGUGAGCCAAAGACUAGGGUAACUCAGAGCUUCAUGCCUCCCAGAGGGAAAGUGACCCCCACAGCUUAAUCAAUCCAGGAAGGCUUCAGAGAGGAAACAGGGCUCCAGGAGCUGGGGGAGGGUGGAGAUGUGGGGAGUUCUGACAGCUUUCUGCACGGCGUGGUCCACUCCUGUUUAGUGUGCAGACUGUCUGAGGGCAGGAGAGCUGGCGGGGGCACCCUGCCGGAACCCGCUCCUCCUCUUCCAGCUGGAGCAGAAGGCAAACAAGGCCCUCUGGUUCCUGAAGCAGUGCGAGGCCCUCUUCAACAGCCCGCAGGCGCGCAUCCGCCAGGCGGCAGUGUGGUUUGCAGGCCAGAUCAUCCAGACCCUAGGCACGGAAGACACCAACGAAAUUGAGGAGGCAUACUCAGCCCUGAGGCACAUGCAGGAAGACGGCGACCCCAUGGUCAGCUGCCUCGCCAGGCAGACCUUAUACGUUCUGGAAGCCAAGGAGAAGCAGCUGGUCGACACCCCCACCUCCUGCUUCUGCAGCAGGAGGUCACGAAAGAGCUGGUUCUGAGCCUGCAUCCUUGGGUCCCGGCCAGGACAAACGAGGCUGUGACAGCUGUGACAGUGGGGACAGGCUCCUGGGCCCUGCACUGGAAGUGGCCUUGGUCCCUGCAGAAUCUUUCCAAUAAAAGGAGGAA